rnacentral:rRNA from 1 species
UGAACGCUGGCGGCGUGCCUAAUACAUGCAAGUCGAGCGAACGGACGAGAAGCUUGCUUCUCUGAUGUUAGCGGCGGACGGGUGAGUAACACGUGGAUAACCUACCUAUAAGACUGGGAUAACUUCGGAAAACCGGAGCUAAUACCGGAUGAUAUUUUGAACCGCAUGGUUCAAAAGUGAAAGACGGUCUUGCUGUCACUUAUAGAUGGAUCCGCGCUGCAUUAGCUAGUUGGUAAGGUAACGGCUUACCAAGGCAACGAUGCAUAGCCGACCUGAGAGGGUGAUCGGCCACACUGGAACUGAGACACGGUCCAGACUCCUACGGGAGGCAGCAGUAGGGAAUCUUCCGCAAUGGGCGAAAGCCUGACGGAGCAACGCCGCGUGAGUGAUGAAGGUCUUCGGAUCGUAAAACUCUGUUAUUAGGGAAGAACAUAUGUGUAAGUAACUGUGCACAUCUUGACGGUACCUAAUCAGAAAGCCACGGCUAACUACGUG